rnacentral:rRNA from 1 species
UAGGGAAUCUUCCACAAUGGACGAAAGUCUGAUGGAGCAACGCCGCGUGAGUGAAGAAGGGUUUCGGCUCGUAAAACUCUGUUGUUAAGGAAGAACAUAUCUGAGAGUAACUGUUCAGGUAUUGACGGUACUUAACCAGAAAGCCACGGCUAACUACGUGCCUG